rnacentral:rRNA from 1 species
AUUGAACGCUGGCGGCAUGCCUUACACAUGCAAGUCGAACGGUAACAGGUCUUCGGAUGCUGACGAGUGGCGAACGGGUGAGUAAUACAUCGGAACGUGCCCGAUCGUGGGGGAUAACGGAGCGAAAGCUUUGCUAAUACCGCAUACGAUCUACGGAUGAAAGCAGGGGACCGCAAGGCCUUGCGCGGACGGAGCGGCCGAUGGCAGAUUAGGUAGUUGGUGGGAUAAAAGCUUACCAAGCCGACGAUCUGUAGCUGGUCUGAGAGGACGACCAGCCACACUGGGACUGAGACACGGCCCAGACUCCUACGGGGGGCAGCAGUGGGGAAUUUUGGACAAUGGGCGAAAGCCUGAUCCAGCCAUGCCGCGUGCAGGAUGAAGGCCUUCGGGUUGUAAACUGCUUUUGUACGGAACGAAAAGACUCUUUCUAAUAAAGAGGGUCCAUGACGGUACCGUAAGAAUAAGCACCGGCUAACUACGUG